UGGGCAACCUGCCCUCAGCUCUGGGAUAACUCCAGAAAUUGGGGCUAAUACCGGAUAUGACCGCUNACCGCAUGGUCUGGUGGUGGAAAGAUUUAUCGGCUGGGGAUGGGCCCGCGGCCUAUCAGCUUGUUGGUGGGGUAGUGGCCUACCAAGGCGACGACGGGUAGCCGGCCUGAGAGGGUGUCCGGCCACACUGGGACUGAGAUACGGUCCAGACUCCUACGGGA
rnacentral:rRNA from 1 species